GUACCAGAUCAAUGUGGAGCUAUAUACAGGAAGUACCAGAUCAAUGUGGAGCUAUAUACAGGAAGUACCAGAUCAAUGUGGAGCUAUAUACAGAGAGUACCAGAUCAAUGUAGAGCUAUAUACAGGGAGUACCAGAUCAAUGUGGAGCUAUAUACAGGAAGUACCAGAUCAAUGUGGAGCUAUAUACAGGAAGUACCAGAUCAAUGUGGAGCUAUAUACAGGAAGUACCAGAUCAAUGUGGAGCUAUAUACAGGAAGUACCAGAUCAAUGUGGAGCUAUAUACAGGAAGUACCAGAUCAAUGUGGAGCUAUAUACAGGAAGUACCAGAUCAAUGUGGAGCUAUAUACAGGAAGUACCAGAUCAAUGUGGAGCUAUAUACAGGAAGUACCAGAUCAAUGUGGAGCUAUAUACAGGAAGUACCAGAUCAAUGUGGAGCUAUAUACAGGAAGUACCAGAUCAAUGUGGAGCUAUAUACAGGAAGUACCAGAUCAAUGUGGAGCUAUAUACAGGAAGUACCAGAUCAAUGUGGAGCUAUAUACAGGAAGUACCAGAUCAAUGUGGAGCUAUAUACAGGAAGUACCAGAUCAAUGUGGAGCUAUAUACAGGAAGUACCAGAUCAAUGUGGAGCUAUAUACAGGAAGUACCAGAUCAAUGUGGAGCUAUAUACAGGAAGUACCAGAUCAAUGUGGAGCUAUAUACAGGGAGUACCAGAUCAAUGUGGAGCUAUAUACAGGGAGUACCAGAUCAAUGUGGAGCUAUAUACAGGAAGUACCAGAUCAAUGUGGAGCUAUAUACAGGAAGUACCAGAUCAAUGUGGAGCUAUAUACAGGAAGUACCAGAUCAAUGUGGAGCUAUAUACAGGAAGUACCAGAUCAAUGUGGAGCUAUAUACAGGAAGUACUAUAUACAGUUAUAUUCCGCUCAACACAGAAUAGACAUGUUCACAUUGGAUUUGGAUUUAUUGUGAUGGUGUAGGCUAUAUUACAUGGAUUUACUGUGAAGGUGGAGGCUAUAUUACAUGGAUUUAUUGUGAUGGUGUAGACUAUAUUACAUGGAUUUAUUGUGAAGGUGUAGGCUAUAUUACAUGGAUUUAUUGUGAAGGUGGAGGCUAUAUUACAUGGAUUUAUUGUGAAGGUGGAGACUAUAUUACAUGGAUUUAUUGUGAAGGUGGAGGCUAUAUUACAUGGAUUUAUUGUGAAGGUGGAGGCUAUAUUACAUGGAUUUAUUGUGAAGGUGGAGGCUAUAUUACAUGGAUUUAUUGUGAAGGUGGAGGCUAUAUUACAUGGAUUUAUUGUGAAGGUGGAGGCUAUAUUACAUGGAUUUAUUGUGAAGGUGGAGGCUAUAUUACAUGGAUUUAUUGUGAAGGUGGAGGCUAUAUUACAUGGAUUUAUUGUGAAGGUGGAGGCUAUAUUACAUGUAUUUAUUGUGACGGUGGAGGCUAUAUUACAUGGAUUUAUUGUGAAGGUGGAGGCUAUAUUACAUGGAUUUAUUGUGAUGGUGGAGGCUAUAUUACAUGGAUUUAUUGUGAAGGUGGAGGCUAUAUUACAUGGAUUUAUUGUGAAGGUGGAGGCUAUAUUACAUGGAUUUAUUGUGAAGGUGGAGGCUAUAUUACAUGGAUUUAUUGUGAAGGUGGAGGCUAUAUUACAUGGAUUUAUUGUGAAGGUGGAGGCUAUAUUACAUGGAUUUAUUGUGAUGGUGGAGGCUAUAUUACAUGGAUUUAUUGUGAUGGUGGAGGCUAUAUUACAUGGAUUUAUUGUGAAGGUGGAGGCUAUAUUACAUGGAUUUAUUGUGAAGGUGUAGGCUAUAUUACAUGGAUUUAUUGUGAAGGUGGAGACUAUAUUACAUGGAUUUAUUGUGAAGGUGGAGGCUAUAUUACA